UACGUAGGGGGCAAGCGUUGUCCGGAUUUAUUGGGCGUAAAGAGCGUGUAGGCGGCUUGGUAGGUCUGCUGUGAAAACUCGAGGCUUAACCUCGAGAUGUCGGCGGAAACCAUCUGGCUAGAGUCCGGAAGAGGAGAGUGGAAUUCCUGGUGUAGCGGUGAAAUGCGCAGAUAUCAGGAAGAACACCCGUGGCGAAGGCGGCUCUCUGGGACGGUACUGACGCUGAGACGCGAAAGCGUGGGGAGCGAACAGG
rnacentral:rRNA from 1 species